GACGAACGCUGGCGGCGUGCUUAACACAUGCAAGUCGAACGGAAAGGCCCUGCUUUUGUGGGGUGCUCGAGUGGCGAACGGGUGAGUAACACGUGUGUAACCUGCCCUUGACUUUGGGAUAACUUCAGGAAACUGGGGCUAAUACCGGAUAGGAGCUCCUGCUGCAUGGUGGGGGUUGGAAAGUUUCGGCGGUUGGGGAUGGACUCGCGGCUUAUCAGCUUGUUGGUGGGGUAGUGGCUUACCAAGGCUUUGACGGGUAGCCGGCCUGGGAGGGUUACCGGCCACAUUGGGACUGAGAUACGGCCCAGACUCCUACGGGAGGCAGCAGUGGGGAGUAUUGCACAAUGGGCGGAAGCCUGAUGCAGCAACGCCGCGUGCGGAAUGACGGCCUUCGGGUUGUAAACCGCUUUCGCCUGUGACGAAGCGUGAGUGACGGUAAUGGGUAAAGAAGCACCGGCUAACUACGUG
rnacentral:rRNA from 1 species